UUUGCAUGAGAGCAUUAACGUACUUGCAGUACUCAUACUUAUAACAGUAUCAAUUACAAAUUAGUUGUGGUACAAGAAUAUAAAUAGACGUCUUGGGCCACAUUUAAUGCAGUGAUCAGUACGGCACAGCUAUGUCGAAAAUGUCUCAUGUUUUAUUUAUUGUCUCCCAAAGAGGUUCUGAUGGACAUCACAGAAGUGAGAAAACAACUGCACUUUCGCAAUCUGACAGCACUGGUUAAAUGCUGUUGGUGGAAAAACAUGCCGCGUGAAUGAAAUCUCCUGCAGAGUUUGAUCAAUUACUUAGCAUUUAUAUUUAGUGCUAAGGAAAUGUAAUUAUGAUGAAAGUUGUGUGUUAUGACAACUUAUUGUAAUAUUAUUUUAUACCAACACAUUAUUAUGAAGUUGCUUUUACUGACACUGUUGGAAUAAAUUGAAAAUAUAUUAAAAA